rnacentral:rRNA from 1 species
UACAGAGGGUGCAAGCGUUAAUCGGAAUUACUGGGCGUAAAGCGUGUGUAGGUGGUUGCGUAAGUUAGAUGUGAAAUCCCCGGGCUCAACCUGGGAAUUGCGUUUAAAACUGCGUAGCUAGAGUAUUGUAGAGGAUAGUGGAAUUUCCAGUGUAGCGGUGAAAUGCGUAGAUAUUGGAAGGAACACCAGUGGCGAAGGCGACUAUCUGGGCAAAUACUGACACUGAGACACGAGAGCAUGGGGAGCAAACAGG